rnacentral:lncRNA from 1 species
UUUUUUUCAGAUUUGGACCAACCUAGACAAAAACCUUUUCUUCUUCAUGAAAAAACCCGAGAGGAGCUAAAAAGGAUCAGCAGCAGCUGUUACAUACACGACCCCCCCCCCUGAAACUUCUUCUUCUUUGAACCCCCUACCUCAGCUGUUACCCCUCCUAUUAAACAAACCAGCGACCAAACAACCUAAACCAGCCGUUGUUCGCCAGAAGCAGCGACGCCACCAGCGACCUCUCGCCGGAAAACGUCCAGCAACACCCUCGCCAACACCAACAGCUGCAACACACAAAAAAACCUUCAGAAAACGACCCCAUCUCCCUAACACCAGAGACCCGCCACCAGCCAUACUCAUUCAUCUCAAAUUCGACGCUCCCUCACCAGUGAACUCACCGGAAAACGAACCCUAGCAGCUGCUUCUUUUCUUUAUUUUUUUCUUGUCAAAAUUCGUAGUUGAUUUAUGUUGUGAAUUUACCCAUAGUUUUCAAUAUUAGUCCUAACCUUUGAAUCUUCUACUGUGUCUAAAUCAGAUGGUUAAAAAUGAUUUGAAUCUGUCGGGCGCAGGCCAUAUGUGUUUUGUUUUGUUCUAGUUGCCAGAAAAAUGAAAACACAGAGGUGCAGUCUUUAGAUCUGAUCUAUUUCGGGUGUCGAUCAAUGGCUUUCUAUUCUUGGGUUGUAUUUUCGUUCGAGGUUCGUCUGGUCCGUGUUCCAAAUUUCAAAGGUCGGAUAUUUCGUUAAUUGGAAAGGUUCUAUCUGAGGUCCACUCCUAAACCUCGUUUUUAAUUAAUUUUUAGCAUUCUUCUUAUGUGUUUGAGAUAUGAAUGUUAUUGAUUAUUUUGUUUGCUUCAUUGUUGAUCUAAAAUCUAUUUUAAAUAGUUUAUUAGUUUAUGUUUUCGGAUUUAAAAUUUUGAUUUAAUACCAAGCAAGCCUGUGAAUUGUUUAGGCUGAAGUUUGUCAUGGAUUGUUUGAAUGGCCUUAGGGAUUGGGUAUAAUAUGAAAAAGAAAAGUAGACUCUUAAUAUUUUCAUCACUUAUAUUUCAUCAUUUGCAUUAGAAACAUGUACACAUUCGCGUGACAUAAUAACGAUUUAAAAACAAUAUCGAGGUAUGCGUUCACGCAACUUCGACUAAACUUUUUUAAUAAUAAUAAUAAGGCGUUAUUAAUUGUGGACACGUUCGCGUGACACGAUUCUUGACACGCCAAACCAAAUAGGUACACGUGCGUGUGACUUGUUUCAAGAUAAUCUUUUAAUUAAAAAGAGACAAAUACACAUAGGUUCUAAAAAUGAGUGAUUAGACAAUUUGAUUAAGCCAAGUAUGAUCAAAGCGACCGUGAUAAAACCACGGAACCCGAGAAUGCCUAACACCUUCUCCCGGGUUAACAAAAUUCCUUAUUCGGAUUUCUGUGUUCGCAGACCAUAAAUAAGAGUCAAACUUUCCUCAAUUCGGGAUUUUAAACCGGUGACUUGGGACACCAUAAAUUAUCCCAAUUGGCUACUCUAAUUUUAAUAAAUAAUCCCGUUUCGAUUGUCACUUAAAAUUGAAAAAAACUCCCUUUAUACCCCCUUCUGGUGGUAGUAAAAAGGAGGUGUGACAGCUCUGGCGACUUUGCUGGGACAAGAACCCAGAACUUCUGGUUCAGGGUUCAAGAAUUCGAGCUUGUUUUGUGAUUUUAUUUGGCUUUAUUUAUUGUUAAUAUUACUGUAUUUUGUGAACCUUUUGUGCUAAUUGCUGUCUAUUUACCGUUUUGAUAUUAUUUGAAUUGUAUAUAAAUGCCUUCUUACGCUUCCCUUCUGAGUCUUCAAUAAAAGAAUGGUGCACAUGUUCGUGUGGCCCACUUUUUCUGUUGGAAGUUAUACCAAAUAGAACGAGGCUAAGCCAGCAACAAGGUCGGAUAGAGUUUUGUGCUCCCGGUACGUUGCUUCCUCUUCGGCUCGAGUUGUCUGCUCGGGUAAGCCAGGUCAAGAACACAACCCCAAGUUUAAACUUAGAAUAACAUAACCUCAUGUUGGAUCCCUAAUAAGAACGUUUGUUUGCAUCACGUGCAUUUGACUUUGGGGACUCAACACAGGGGUUGGGUCCGUCUAGGACAGGUGUACCCAAAAUAACAGACCAUCUUAAUGCAUCCUAUAUGGUACAUGUUGCAUUUCUUCAAGGGUAAAAGGAUCAUUUGGCGGACCAAUGAUAGUUGAGGGCAAAUGAAAAAAAAGAGUGAAGUGUGAAAAUAAAGCAAGUAGGGCCCAAUGUUUUCUGUCACAUUUUUGUUAAGAAAAACAAAUAUGAAAAUUCAAAAAAAAAAAGAUUUUACACUUUUUCAUCAUUUUCCGAAAAUCAAAAAAAAGGAAAAUAAAAUCCAAAAAGAGUUUACAUAUUUCAUCAUUUUUCAAAAAAAAAAGAGACAAAAAACAUAUUUUCUCUAAAUUAGUUAUUUUUUUAAUUCUCGCCCGUAUCCAAUCUGCCCGAACUACACAAACCUGAUUCUCAUCUCUCGGGGCGGGAUACGUAGGCAACCUACAUAGGGUCCGGUCUUCCUAGUGAGUCUUAGGUUCUUGGCUUCGCGGGAUCUUAGCCAAAUCUUGCAUUUUUAGCCACUUUUAGCCACAUAGGUUAAUUUUAAAAAAAUAGUCACAAUCAUGUUUUGCAUGUGUCCAACAGGAAGUAUUUUGUCUCACAUAGUGUUUUAGGUCUUUAACUUUAUUUGGUCUAAUUUUCUCAUACAGGUGUGGGUCUACUUACCGGAGUUUGAGCAUGACAGAUACCCUGGGACCAUCUAGUCAGGAUCGCUCAUUCAGGAGUUGCUUAAGGAGAUUUUUUUUUAUUUUUAUGUUUUGAGUCUGUUCUUCAUUUUAUGUCGUCUUUUACUUUCUAGUUUUCUACAGUAAUGUCGAGUCUUUUGUUAUUGUACUUUCUACUUUGUAUUUGAAAAAAUGUGUUGUAACUCAAAAAUCCAAAAAAAAAGGGGUUUUGCGUUUUAUCUUUCUGUUAGAAGUUUUCUUUAGAAUACUAAUUCUAGAAAUAAAAAAAAAUUCUU